rnacentral:tRNA from 1 species
GGGCCGGUAGCUCAAGUGGUAGAGCCCCUCGCUCUUGACGGGGAAGAUGGUCGAUCGAAACGGCUCCGGCCCA